rnacentral:lncRNA from 1 species
UACACUUAUUCCUCGCUGCCGCUUGUAAUAAUCCCUCCGAAGCUGAGGAUGAAAUUGGUUUCUCCGUGAUCUCUCUUUCCACCCUGGGUGAUCCCCAUAGGAUUCUUCACAAGGACGCAAAUCUUUGUCGGGGUUCAUUGGUGGCUGUGGUUUUCCUGCCCAGCCCACUACCACUGGGCCGUAGAUGAGAUGGAUAUCUUGUCCAGCCCGCUGCCACUGGACCAUUUCUGCAGGUAAGGGGGUCAAACCCACAGCCACUGGACCCUCUUCUCUGUAGCAGUUGCAUCUGUUACACAGUAAAGGAGUCCUAGAGAAGUGCUGCCAAGGGGAACUCAUAAAAAAGCCGCUGCUGGAGACUCAGAUGUGCCCUGCUGAGCGAGGCAGUCUCCUCCUACUUACCGUGCUGCAGUGAGCCGCAGUCACCCGCGGGGGAGUUGAAGAAUAAGUUGAAUAUGGUUGAACACGGUGGCAUCAUACUGCUCAGCCAUCUCUGGGGUUAACUGCAGAUGAGAUAAUUCCUGUAUAACUCCUGGAUCCUCUAGGGCAUUCUGCCACUGUAUCCACACUUCAUGGUACAAGGGCGAAUGGACAGAUCUCCAGCUUCCAAGUGAAACGUGAAGGCGACUCGACAAGGAUUUCUGUUAGGACAAUAGUUUUGCUUCAUGAAGACCAGGAAGGCUUGAACUCAGGACAAUGGGUAUCUUGAAUUUACUCAGUUCCCAUCUCUUAAGUUAUUAAACAUUAUUUCCCACCUGUCUUGUGUAUUUUUGCUUGAUCCCUAUAAUAUGGGGGCAGGCAUAAUUUUGUAUAACCCCUGUAAGACGUGUGCCAGGUACAAUUGGCCCUAUUUCCUAUGUGGGGAAACUGAGACUCAGAGCAGAGAAGCGACUCUCCUAAGUCACACGUUGUAUUGCUGGCAGAGUCUCGGGCAGGAGUCGUGCCUCCUGAUUUCCAGGUACAUGCUGCUUUUGCUAGAACCAAUCUAUUAAAGAACCAAGACUCUUUUAUUUGGAAUUAAUGAGGGAUUCCAAAAAUAGUGUUAGCAGUGCUUAACAAAUUUGAAAGAGCAAAGGAACUGAAGCCAGAGAAGACUGAGAUAGGGGAGCUGUUUCAUUGUAUCAAUUUCUAUUCACUUUGUUAAUAAUUGAUGCCACAUUUACUCAUUGUUAUAUAUUAAAAAUACUUGAUUUGCUACAAGGUAAAAAUGACCCAUUGACUUUGUCUCUCAACCUACGCUAACCCUAAAUGAGAAUCUCAUUGUGACCACGAUUUUGCAAAAUUGAUUAAAUGGAAAUAAAUGCAUUCAAGUGUCAAAGGCUGCAUUGGGAAUGGUUGCUAAUGAGCUUGACCUUUCAGAGCUUCCUGGCUGGGUGCACAGUAGGUGUUCAAUGAGUACUGAUGGAUGUCUUGACUGACUGAGAUUUCGGUUAGCCUUCCAUCCCCGGGAGCAUGGUGCCUCUAAUGUGUUAGAUGGCAUCAUGUUCCAAAAAUGAAUCGAUCUAUAAAUUUGAAGACUAAUUUGGAAACAUUUUAACCUUACUAAACAGAAUAGUAUGAUAAAACCUAGGUACCCUACGCCAGCUUCAAAUCAAUAUUCUGCUGUUUUUGUUUACUUCCCUUAACACACAUCACUGCCUCCCCACCCCCAACACACACACACUUUUUUGUUUUUGAGACAGAGUCUCGCUCUGUCACCGAGGCUGGGGUGUAGUGGCGCCAUCUCGGCUCACUGCAAGCUCCGCCUCCUGGGUUCAUGCCAUUCUCCUGUCUCGGCCUCCCAGUCUCCAGAGUAGCUGGGACUUCAGGUGUCCACUUUUUUUUUUUUUUUUUGGCUGAAGUACCAUAAAGGAAAUUUCAAACAUUGUGUCAUUCACCUGUGAAUAAAUCUGUAUGUACCUCCAAUAGAUAGACUAAAAAAACCACAACCUUAUCACCACAACACAAUUAGCCAUUGUUUCUUAAUAUCAUAGGAGGCCUCUUCCAUGCUGAAUGCUCCAU